GAUGAACGCUGGCGGCGUGCCUAAUACAUGCAAGUCGAGCGAACAGACGAGGAGCUUGCUCCUUUGACGUUAGCGGCGGACGGGUGAGUAACACGUAGAUAACCUACCUAUAAGACUGGGAUAACUUCGGGAAACCGGAGCUAAUACCGGAUAAUAUUUUGAACCGCAUGGUUCGAUAGUGAAAGAUGGCUUUGCUAUCACUUAUAGAUGGACCUGCGCGUUAUUAGCUAGUUGGUAAGUUACCGGCUUACCAAGGCAACGAUACGUAGCCGACCUGGGAGGGGGAUCGCCCACAGAGGAACUGAGCGACGGCCCAGACUCCUAGGGGAGGCAGAAGAAGGGAAUCUUCGGAAAUGGGGGAAACCCUGACGAAGAAACGCAGGGUGGGUGAUGAAGGUCUGCGGAUGGUAAAACGCUGUUAUGGGGGAAAAACAAACGUGUAAGUAACUGUGCAAGUCUGAACGUAACCGAAUCAGAAGGCCCGGCCUACCUACGG
rnacentral:rRNA from 1 species